UACGUAGGGGGCUAGCGUUGCUCGGAAUCACUGGGCGUAAAGCGCACGUAGGCGGCUUUCUAAGUCAGGGGUGAAAUCCUGGAGCUCAACUCCAGAACUGCCUUUGAUACUGGAGAGCUUGAGUCCGGAAGAGGUGAGUGGAACUCCGAGUGUAGAGGUGAAAUUCGUAGAUAUUCGGAAGAACACCAGUGGCGAAGGCGGCUCACUGGUCCGGUACUGACGCUGAGGUGCGAAAGCGUGGGGGAGCAAACAGG
rnacentral:rRNA from 1 species